GGUUGUGGCUCAGCGGUAGCGCGCUUGCCUAGGAUGUGUGACGUACUGGGUUCGAUUCUCAGCACCA
rnacentral:tRNA from 1 species